rfam:Heligmosomoides polygyrus genome assembly, scaffold: HPBE_scaffold0004355
AUCCUUUCUUCUUGGCGCUCCUGCUCCAUUCAGAGCAGCAGUGUAUGUUAAGGAAGGUACAGCAUGUCCUUUGGAUAUUCGGGUCUCCUUCGGUGCUAUUCCACUACAACUUCGAAUAGCGUCAUCCUCUGGAUUCGAGACAAUU